UGGGGUCUGUGAUGAUUAAAAUAUUUGCCUACAUUGUCUGAUUGUUUUCAUUGAAAGAGAAUAUUCAAUUUUCUGAGGCCUGA
rnacentral:snoRNA from 1 species